AUUCUGUCUCUGAAAGAUAUGGAAGUUAAAUUUUCUUGGGUUCUUACAAGGGACAGGCCUAAGGACAAGGAGGUUGUGAAAUACGAAAGAACUCUUGACCCUGUGGAUUGUCCAAAGCCUUGGGAAGUUAAGGAAGUUUUGAAUGGUUCCACCAAUAGCUUCCGUGCAUCUAAUAUAUAUCCUAGAUAUAUUCGCGUGACUGGUUCUGGGGAAGUUAGGACUAUUGAAGAGGAGGCAAAUGGUGUUAGCGCGGAUAUCAUUUUAAAUCGGGGAGUCUCUGAGUGGUGGUCCUUCCAUGAUAUCAACUCACUGGAUAUAAAAGGCUGCGGAGGGUUGAGAGGGCCUAUGGCCAUAAUUGUAUCAGAGGAAACACCGCAGGGCUUGCUAGGUGAUACUCUCAGCAAAUUCAGUAUAUGGGGUCUCUACAUCACAUUUGUUUUAGCAGUCGGUCGCUUCAUCAGACUGCAGUGCUCUGACCUACGGAUGAGAAUCCCAUAUGAAAAUCUUCCUUCAUGUGAUAGAUUGAUUGCCAUCUGUGAGGAUAUAUAUGCUGCAAGAGCUGAGGGUGAGCUCGUG
rnacentral:misc_RNA from 1 species